rnacentral:rRNA from 1 species
AGGAAGGAGAAGUCGUAACAAGGUUUCCGUAGGUGAACCUGCGGAAGGAUCAUUGUCGAACCCUGCAUAGCAGAACGACCCGCGAACAUGUACUAACAACCGGGCGUGUAGUCCUGUCCUUGUGGCGCCUCGUCGYUGUGCGUGUCUGGUGGCCGCUUCUUCGGGGCCUCGAGCACGUCGCAUCGGCACAACAACAAACCCCGGCACAACAUGUGCCAAGGAAAACUAAACUUAAGAAGGGCUCGUAACACGACGCCCCGUUCGCGGGUGCUCGUGUGGACGUGGCCUCUUUGUAAUCACAAACGACUCUCGGCAACGGAUAUCUCGGCUCACGCAUCGAUGAAGAACGUAGCAAAAUGCGAUACUUGGUGUGAAUUGCAGAAUCCCGUGAACCAUCGAGUUUUUGAACGCAAGUUGCGCCCGAAGCCUUUCGGCCGAGGGCACGUCUGCCCUGGGCGUUCACGCAUCGCUCGCCCCCCACCACCCAUCCCUUACGGUGAUGCAUGGUACGGGAUGGCGGAGACUGGCCUCCCGUUCCCACGGUGCGGUUGGCCAAAAUCGGAGUCCCCUUCGGUGGACGCACGACUAGUUGUGGUUGACAAAACCCUGGUCUCGUGUCGUGUGUCGUCAGCCGCGAGGGAAGACCUCUUCAAAGACCCCAAGCGCGUCGUCUCGCGACGAUGCUUCGACCGCGAGCCCCAGUUCAGGCGGGACUACCCGC